UGGCGGACGGGUGAGUAAUGUCUGGGAAACUGCCCGAUGGAGGGGGGUAACUACUGGAAACGGUAGCUAAUACCGCAUAACGUCGCAAGACCAAAGAGGGGGACCUUCGGGCCUCUUGCCAUCGGAUGUGCCCAGAUGGGAUUAGCUAGUAGGUGGGGUAACGGCUCACCUAGGCGACGAUCCCUAGCUGGUCUGAGAGGAUGACCAGCCACACUGGAACUGAGACACGGUCCAG
rnacentral:rRNA from 1 species